rnacentral:rRNA from 1 species
UACGUAGGGUGCAAGCGUUGUCCGGAAUUAUUGGGCGUAAAGAGCUCGUAGGCGGUUUGUCGCGUCGGGAGUGAAAACACACAGCUUAACUGUGUGCUUGCUUCCGAUACGGGCAGACUAGAGGUAUGCAGGGGAGAACGGAAUUCCUGGUGUAGCGGUGAAAUGCGCAGAUAUCAGGAGGAACACCGGUGGCGAAGGCGGUUCUCUGGGCAUUACCUGACGCUGAGGAGCGAAAGUGUGGGGAGCGAACAGG